rnacentral:lncRNA from 1 species
AAAAUUUUCACUGUAAUAUUGCUCUUCUGAUUAGUAUCUUUUCCUAAUCAAUUUCUGAUCUCGCCUCUCUUUUUCUAUGCGUUUUUUAACUCAAUAGUGUUCCUCUCCGAUCCCCCUUUUUGAAAUUGAUAAGGUGCUUUUAUAGAGUUUUUUAUAUGUUUAGUUGCUUUCUGGUCUGCAUUGGUCCUUCUCUAUCUAUUUCUUGUUUCAUGUUUUUUUUUCCUUUGCUCAUCAUCUGCGUUUUUUUCUACACCUCUGAUGCAUUCAUGAUUUUGAUUUAUUUGCUUUGAUCUGUUCUGUUGCUGAGCUUUAAUUUGUCCCUUAGUUUAUUUUUUAAACUCAAAAUUUUGUCUCUUUGUUCUGCACAAAGUGUACCAAGACUGACUAAAAAAAAAUGUUUUUUAUGUUUCUCUAAUUAGUUACAAAGCAAAGGCCAAUGACAACUACAUCUGAAACAGAAAGGCAGCAACAAAAUAGAGCCAAACACUGCAUCAGAAACAAAGAGGCAGAGAGGCAACAACAACAACAAAUUAAAAAUUAUUGUAAUUUAAUUUAGUUUGGUUUAAAUCUUAUUGUAAUUUAAUUUUGCCUUUAUUUUAGUUUGUAAUUUGAUUUGGUUUUAACAUUCUAAAUAGAUUUGAAAUUGUAAACUUAUAAUACAUAAUGAAAUUAUUUAUUGUAAUUAUUUUAUUUCCUUUUUUAAAUACACAUUUCCUUUUUUA